UUGGGAGCUCUCCCAUAUGGUCGACCUGCAGGCGGCCGCGAAUUCACUAGUGAUUCGUAUUACCGCGGCUGCUGGCACGGAGUUAGCCGGAGCUUAUUCUCCCGGUGCUGUCAUUAUCAUCCCGGGUAAAAGAGCUUUACAACCCUAAGGCCUUCAUCACUCACGCGGCAUUGCUGGAUCAGGCUUUCGCCCAUUGUCCAAUAUUCCCCACUGCUGCCUCCCGUAGGAGUCUGGGCCGUGUCUCAGUCCCAGUGUGGCUGAUCAUUCUCUCAAACCAGCUACAGAUCAUUGGCUUGGUAGGCCAUUACCCUACCAACUACCUAAUCUGGCGCGGGCUCAUCCAUCAGCGAUAAAUCUUUCCUCCAAAGAGAAUAUACGGUAUUAGCAAUUAUUUCUAAAUGUUAUUCCGUACUGAUGGGCAGAUUCCCACGUGUUACUCACCCGUCUGCCACUAAUUUAUUUAAAGCAAGCUCUAAAUAAAUCCGUUCGACUUGCAUGUGUUAAGCAUACCGAAAGCGUUCGUUCUGAGCCAUGAUCAAACUCUAAUCGAAUUCCCGCGGCCGCCAUGGCG
rnacentral:rRNA from 1 species